rnacentral:lncRNA from 1 species
UUGAUGAAAUUAUAUAGACCCAGAUGAGAUUUUUAUGGAAAGAUUGUAAAUCUGUUCAAAUAAAUUUGUGGGCUGGUAAGAAACAGUGUGAAUUUGUUGGAAUUUGUUGUAAUUUGUUGUAAUAUAUAUAUAUUUAGAGGAAAAAAAAAUAUAGAAUCUUGUGAAUUUAAGACAAGGAUAGAGAGAAAUUAAAAAUUAAAAUGGAAAGAUCUGAAAUUUCGGACUCGGAGUGAGAAGAGGAAGAGAAAAAAAAAUAGAGAAGAAGGGAGAGAGUGGUUGGUACUUGGUUCUAGCUUCUAAC